AAAAAAAAAAAAAUCCACGCUCAAAAUCAAAUAUAUAAAGAGUUCAUAAAUAUGUAUAAAAUAUAACCAGUCUCCUUGACUAUACUUAGAAAAAUGCAAGUAGGGAAAAAAUUGAGAUUUUAAUUAAUAUUGAAAUUAAUAUUCACACUAGAAUCUUUUCUUCAUCUCCCCUCUACAUGUAUGAAAGUUUAUUUUUUAAUUUUUAUUUAUUUAUUUAUUUUUUCUUUUUUGCCAUUUAUUGGGCCACUCCCGUGGCAUAUGGAGGUUCCCAGGCUAGGGGUCGAAUCGGAGCUGUAGCCACCGGCCUACGCCAGAGCCACCGCAACGCCAGAUCUGAACCACGUCUGCGACGUACACCAUAGCUCACGGCAACGCUGGAUCCUUAACCCACUGAGUGAGGCCAGGGAUCGAACCCGCAACCUUGUGGUUCCUAGUCGGAUUCGUUAACCACUGCGCCACGACAGUAUCUCCGAGGAAAGUUUAUUUUAAAAUAUAGAGAAAAUGUAAAGAUUAAAGGAGAAAAUGGAAAGUUAAAAGUCAAAUCACUGUUAGUUAGCACUGUUUUGUUAACAUUCAUCUUUGUUGUAUGAUAGUCCCUGUCCUUGGAGGCCUCACCUCUAAGACAGGAACAUUGGGAGGGUGCUGAGAGUUGUUUAAUCCACUUUCACAGAGGUGGCUGUAAUGACAGUUCCCUUCAGGAACUGUUUUGUCUGCUUUUCUAAUAUCAAGAACCCUGGCUGCUCUCCAAACCCAAACUAGAUUUUUUUUUUUUGGGGCUGUACUCACGGCAUAUAGAGGUUCCCAGGCUAGGGGUCGAAUCAGAGCUAUAGCUGCUGGCCUACGCCACAGCCAGAGCAACACCAGAUCUGCACCCUCCACUGUAGCUCAAGGCAAUGCUGGAUCCUUAACCCACUGAGUGAGGCCAGGGAUCGAACCUGCAUCCUCAUGGAUGCUGGUCAGAUUUGCUUCCACUGAGCCAUGAUGGGAACUCCUGAG
rnacentral:lncRNA from 1 species